GACGAACGCUGGCGGCGUGCUUAACGCAUGCAAGUCGAACGGUAAGGCCCUUCGGGGUACACGAGUGGCGAACGGGUGAGUAACACGUGGGUGAUCUGCCCUGCACUUCGGGAUAAGCCUGGGAAACUGGGUCUAAUACCGGAUAGGACCACUGCCUGCAUGGGUGGUGGUGGAAAGCUUUUGCGGUGUGGGAUGGGCCCGCGGCCUAUCAGCUUGUUGGUGGGGUGAUGGCCUAACAAGGCGACGACGGGUAGCCGGCCUGAGAGGGUGACCGGCCACACUGGGACUGAGAUCCGGCGCAGACUCCUGCGGGAGGCAGCAGUGGGGAAUAUUGCACGAUGGGCGCGAGCCUGAUGCAGCGACGCCGCGUGAGGGAUGACGGCCUUCGGGUUGUAAACCUCUUUCAGCACCGACGAAGCGCAAGUGACGGUAGGUGCAGAAGAAGGACCGGCCAACUACGUGCCAGCCGCCGCUGUAA
rnacentral:rRNA from 1 species